CCCCUGGCUGGCGCUGCACAUGCAGUCGAGCGGAUGAAGGGAGCUUGCUCCUGGAUUCAGCGGCGGACGGGUGAGUAAUGCCUAGGAAUCUGCCUGGUAGUGGGGGAUAACGUCCGGAAACGGGCGCUAAUACCGCAUACGUCCUGAGGGAGAAAGUGGGGGAUCUUCGGACCUCACGCUAUCAGAUGAGCCUAGGUCGGAUUAGCUAGUUGGUGGGGUAAAGGCCUACCAAGGCGACGAUCCGUAACUGGUCUGAGAGGAUGAUCAGUCACACUGGAACUGAGACACGGUCCAGACUCCUACGGGAGGCAGCAGUGGGGAAUAUUGGACAAUGGGCGAAAGCCUGAUCCAGCCAUGCCGCGUGUGUGAAGAAGGUCUUCGGAUUGUAAAGCACUUUAAGUUGGGAGGAAGGGCAGUAAGUUAAUACCUUGCUGUUUUGACGUUACCAACAGAAUAAGCACCGGCUAACUUCGUGCCAGCAGCCGCGGUAAUACGAAGGGUGCAAGCGUUAAUCGGAAUUACUGGGCGUAAAGCGCGCGUAGGUGGUUCAGCAAGUUGGAUGUGAAAUCCCCGGGCUCAACCUGGGAACUGCAUCCAAAACUACUGAGCUAGAGUACGGUAGAGGGUGGUGGAAUUUCCUGUGUAGCGGUGAAAUGCGUAGAUAUAGGAAGGAACACCAGUGGCGAAGGCGACCACCUGGACUGAUACUGACACUGAGGUGCGAAAGCGUGGGGAGCAAACAGGAUUAGAUACCCUGGUAGUCCACGCCGUAAACGAUGUCGACUAGCCGUUGGGAUCCUUGAGAUCUUAGUGGCGCAGCUAACGCGAUAAGUCGACCGCCUGGGGAGUACGGCCGCAAGGUUAAAACUCAAAUGAAUUGACGGGGGCCCGCACAAGCGGUGGAGCAUGGUGGUUUAAUUCGAAGCAACGCGAAGAACCUUACCUGGCCUUGACAUGCUGAGACUUUCCAGAGAUGGAUUGGUGCCUUCGGGAGCUCAGACACAGGUGCUGCAUGCUGUCGUCAGCUCGUGUCGUGAGAUGUGGGUAGUCCCGUACGAGCGCACCCUUGUCUAGUACAGCACUCGGUGGGCACUCUAGAGACUGCGGUGACAACCGGAGGAAAGAGGUGGGGGAUGACGUCAGUCAUCAUGGCCCUACGGCAGGGCUACACACCGUUGCUCAAUGGUGCGUUACAAGGGUUGCCAGCCCGCGAGGUGGACUAUCUAACGAACUGUGAUUCCGGAGUGCAGCUUGAAUCCUACCACUUGCGUUGAGAAUCGAUGACU
rnacentral:rRNA from 1 species